GGAAUGGUGAUGAACCUGGUUUUCCUGGAUUUCACAAAAUAAUUUUACUAUUACACUAAAGUCAUCUUACUUAACGAUAUUAAAAAUAUUUAUAAAAUUAUUAAAUCUCAAGAAUUCAAUAGAAGUUAAAUCAACUCAAAAAAUUUAAAAGCAAACAGUGAGUAAAUAUAAAGUUGAAGGAGUGAUCACAUAUGAAUAUUAAAUCUAACAUUUCUAACAUCUGCAUUGAAAUAAUAAUUAAAAAUUAAAUGGAAAAGAAGUAAAAAAAUAAAAAGGUGCAGACAAAUCACUGACCAAAAAUCACAAGCAGAGAACAAGAGCCGAGGCAAGUAUGGUCUCCAAGACAAGAAGAAGUGCAUGUGGGCUAUGGAGUUAAAAUAAAAGGAGCAGUGAAAGGCAGUGCUGGUUGCCGUUUUUCUACGAAAGUGACACUUGAUUUUGGCGCAUUAUGCGUUUUCUCAUGUCGCUUACCCGCUUUUCUAAAAUUAAUAAUAAAUAAAUAAUCACCAUCCCACUCCACGAGCUACCGUUGCCAACCAUAACAGCAAUCACCAUAAUCAAAUCGAUGGUAACAAUUUUUGCUCUCGAUUUAUCACCAAA
rnacentral:misc_RNA from 1 species